GACGGAGGAUGCAAGUGUUAUCCGGAAUCACUGGGCGUAAAGCGUCUGUAGGUGGCUUAACAAGUCAACUGUUAAAUCUUGAAGCUCAACUUCGAAAUCGCAGUCGAAACUGUUAGGCUAGAGUAUAGUAGGGGUAAAGGGAAUUUCCAGUGGAGCGGUGAAAUGCGUAGAGAUUGGAAAGAACACCGAUGGCGAAGGCACUUUACUGGGCUAUUACUGACACUCAGAGACGAAAGCUAGGGUAGCAAAUGGGAUUAGAUACCCCAGUAGUCCUAGCCGUAAACAAUGGAUACUAGAUGUUGGGCAGAUCGACCUGUUCAGUAUCAAAGCUAACGCGUUAAGUAUCCCGC
rnacentral:rRNA from 1 species